rnacentral:rRNA from 1 species
UGCCAGACUCCUACGGGAGGCAGCAGUGGGGAAUAUUGCACAAUGGGGGAAACCCUGAUGCAGCGACGCCGCGUGAGCGAUGAAGUAUUUCGGUAUGUAAAGCUCUAUCAGCAGGGAAGAAGAUGACGGUACCUGACUAAGAAGCCCCGGCUAACUACGUGCCAGCAGCCGCGGUAAUACGUAGGGGGCAAGCGUUAUCCGGAUUUACUGGGUGUAAAGGGAGCGUAGACGGCGAUGCAAGCCAGAUGUGAAAGCCCGGGGCUCAACCCCGGGACUGCAUUUGGAACUGUGUGGCUGGAGUGUCGGAGAGGCAGGCGGAAUUCCUAGUGUAGCGGUGAAAUGCGUAGAUAUUAGGAGGAACACCAGUGGCGAAGGCGGCCUGCUGGACGAUGGCUGACGUUGAGGCUCGAAAGCGUGGGGAGCAAACAGGAUUAGAUACCCUGGUA